GAGGAAGGGCCAUAGCUUAGUGCUAGAGCAUCUGCUUUGCAUGCAAAAGGCUCCAGGUUCAAUCCCCAGCAACA